GUUUUGAAAUUAUUGGAUACUUGCUUAUACUUUAUAUUAUUUAUUUGAUUUAAUUUUAUAGAUCUGAAGAAGCUUCUUCUCUGCACAUCAACUGAAAUUAAGAAGAUGUUUGAGAACAUCAAAAAUGACAGUCAAAAUACAGCAAUGGAAAAUAAGACUGCUGGUUGUCCAAGAGUGACAUUAACCCCAUCAUAAAUUACCUUCUUGAAAAACAAAAAAAAGACAGACUGAGAGGAAGGGUUUCAAUGAUGGCACAGACUCUAUUAUAGGUCUACAAGCUACCCCAACCAAAGAAGUUUCUGUAAAGAAAGGAGUACUUCCAACCCAGCUCUGUUUCGUUAUACUGUGCAUAUGGCAGAAGUGGUAUAAGGAAAUAAUAUAAUUGACAGCAACAACAACAAAAAAUAUGAAUUUUUCCAUUGAUUGGUGGUGGAGGGGAUAAUAUUGUUGUCAGUUUGAGAAGUAGAAGAAAAAGUAAAUGACUCGGAUCAAAGACCUUUUCUGAACAGAUUGAGAAAACAGAAGUCUACAAAACAGAUCAAAGAUGAUAAAAAGGACGAUGUUUAUGCUCUGGAAAGAAAAAGAUGCUGUUUGAAAUAGAGGACAUUAAGUAAAAGAAAAGCAAAGACCAACAGCUAUUUCUGUUAGAAAAAUAAAAAAAACAACAAUAAAUUAAAGUGAUCAGUUUUCCCAUUUGAAAACGAGGGUAUAAUAUGUAUCUACAUUUGUGUGCGCAUUUUAGCGUUGUGAUCAAAUAUCUAUUUCCCCUGAAAAGAAUGUAAUAUAAAUUUGUACAAUAGUGUAAUUGUCCCCGGGAUGGAUCAUGAAGUAUAUUAUAAAUAUUCAGGGUGUCAUGUGCAGAACCCAGACCCUUAUCUCAAAGGUCAAGGUAGCAAUGUUUGGUAACGUUUUUGUAAUAAGCUGGUAUAGAUCUAGUAACCGUUACUGGGAAUGAUUUGAAUUUCACACAUGUUGAUUGUGAUGACAUGACAAACACUGUGUAAGUUCCAUAACUCUGUUUUGAUAUUAUGGCUCUUUUUUACUCGGGAUUUUUUUUGUUGAAAAUAUUGUUUGGAUCUACUUUAAUUUAAUACUAUCAGAGAUUUGUACAUUUGUUUCUCAUUAUGCGAGUAAAUAGACCAAGAAUCAUUACUCAGACAUGCAUUUUGUUAGUAUGAGGUGGAUGAAUUUGUUAUGACCCUUUGUGGUCUUUAUGUAUUUUUUUUGUUAAAUUUUUAGUUUAGAUUCACUUUUCAAAUACUAAAAAUGUUACAGCUUUUAAACUUUAUACACAGUAACACUUGUCUUAAUUAUCAUUAAAUUAGUAAGGAGUAAGAACCAUAGCUUCCUUUGCAGCUUUUAAACUAAGUACACUUUUCUUAAUUAUCAAUAUUGUCACCAAACUUGGUGUAUAGAAAGCGUAUAUAAUACUUUACUAGUGGUUGUACUUAAGGCUGAAAAUGUGGUUUUAUGCCAGUGUUCUGUUCAGAAAUUGCAUAAAUGAAGCAGACAUUGUCUGAAAGUGAUCUCUAGAUUAAGUUUUAAAAUGAUCUCUUUUGCUUAUAACGAAAUUUACUAGUUUAUCAAUUCUAUACAUUUAUAUAUAAUUCUUUUAACUCAUUAUGUUAAAAUACAUAUAAUAACAUUCUUAUAUAUUUUGAAAUUGAAAAAAAAAAUUGAUAAAUAUUCUGUUCCUGUACAUCUAUAAUUAUGAAGAAAAAUGUAAUAAAAUUUCAAACAAGUCAUGUGAGUUGUCAAUAAAAUUUUAACAAAUAUC